rnacentral:lncRNA from 1 species
GCGUUGGCUGAGUUCUCCCUCAUGUGGUGGUUUAGCGUGAAGUCAACCCUAAACUUUACCCCAAGAGAUACCCUACGCGCCUCUCCGAUCGAGGUAAGAAUAUAAUGGGGUUUACUAUGCCCCUCUAAAAGGCUGGUCCAUAGAAACCCCCUACUGUAGUGAUUAAUUAAUAUAUAAUCCAGCAUAUAAUAAAAUUUUGACAACAUGACAAGGCUAAUGAAAUACUACCUAGCUUGCAAGGGUAAAAUAAAACAAUUCAUACAAUUCAUAAAACACAGCCCAGCCAGUCAUACCAACACAAUAACAAUAUAACAUAAGCCAUCAAUUUAAACAAUCAAAUUGUCACAAUUAACAGUCUCUGUAUACUCUAUUUUUCAAAAUCAUUAUUAAUUUCAAAACAAUUUAUAAUUUAAUUUCAUUAGAACACCUUUAUUCAUAAAACAUGAAAAUUUACCUUUUAAAUCCAUUUUUCCAUAGAAUUCAUGAAAUCAUCUAAAAACCACCCUAGAUAAUUAAAAUGACGGUAAGUUUACUCACAAUGUCUAGAAUGCAGACUUUCAAAGUACUUUGUCUACUGGUCCUCAGAUGCAAUUUCCUUGCCUUUAUCGAAGGACUCACCACCUUGACACAGUACAAAAUUGAGAAAUUCACCACAUUGAUACUAAAUUGAAAUUAAACUAAUUUAGGCUACUAAUGC